GAUAAUAUCGUACCGUGGCCUUAACACCGCGACGAUAUCGUACCGUGACAAUUUCAUAUGCAACAUCCCUAGGUCAUAACGCACAACAGAGGAGCAUUAUUGCCAAAAUCUAUCUCCUGGCGGACUGACAGCGCCGUCACAUUUACGAGCGCAUAAACGCCACCAUAACAUUAGCAGCUACGUUAGCCACCUUAGCGUUAGCAGCUACGUUAGCCCAACACUGCGCAUAUAACAACUUAGCUUAGCAAUGCUAACGCUAAUGUUAGCUCGCACACUAGCAUCGGAGCAGGUCAGCUAAUUUGGGUUUAUUGCGACAUUUCACCCCAUUUUAAGAGCAGAAUAGCCGCGCAAGGCUAAAUGCUGCGUUAAGACGUAAAAGGGGGGAAAAAAGCGAAGUAAUUAGGCACAGAUGUUCCCCUCUCAGUACUGUAAGCACAUAGGUUAGCUAAGGGUGUAUUUGAUGUCAGAUAAUUAGCGGCGGAUUGUUCCAGAACGUCGUGCUAGCUAAGCUGAGACAUAUAUGAUGUUUUAUAUUCACUUACCUGCAGAUGUAACGAUGCAAUAAGGGUGUUCCUUUUUUUUUUGGGACAAUCCCGCUGCUGUGGCAGGAAAACCCCUCAGUCUGGAGCCCAACGCCGCCUUCUCCCCCCCCGUCCGUCCGUCGCCCUCCCGGGGUACACGCAGCCCGCGAGCACCGCGCGUUAGGAAUGAUGCGAGCAGGGGCACAAUCAGGGCGCCUGUGGGUCCCGUCAGCGGUGAGGUCCACGCACACACACGCCCGCCCCCUCUUCUCGCUUCCCCCUCGCCUCUCUUCCACACACCGCCGAGGUGAUUACUCUUAUAUUCUCUUAAAAAAAUCAGACACAAGGGCGCCUUAACGUCACUUUCGGUGCUAAAAAUGUGUUUCUAUGUCUUACAUUGGCGCACACGACACACAAACAUGUACCUGCCCCCUCCUUCAUGUCUCCAUCUCUCUGACGCUUUUGUUAUUUUUUAUUUUUGCAAUAAUAAAAAAAGAAACUACAAUUAGACUUAUUUCCAAAUGCAUUGUGUGGCCCUGAAUGUUUUAGAGCACUGCGAGCUCCUUUGUUCCUAAGUGAAAGUGAAUUAGCUUCAAACAAUGGCAGGAGACCAGGCUGAAUAGAACAGUGGUUCUCAACCUUUUUUCAUUGAUGUGACAUUUUUUUUUAAUUCAAGUACCCCCUGAUCAGAGCAAAGCAUUUUUGGUUGGAAAAAAAGAGAUAAAGAAGUAAAAUACAGCACUUUGUCAUCAGUUUCUGAUUUAUUAGAUUUUAUGACAGUGCAAAAUAUUGUUCAUUUGUAGUGGUCUUUCUUGAACUAUUUGGAAAAAAAAGAUAUGAAAGUAACUAAAAACUUGUUGAAAAAUAAACAAGAGAUUCAAUUAUAAAUAAAGAUUUCUACACAUAGAAGUAAUCAUCAAUUUAAAGUGUCCUCUUUGGGGAUUGUAAUAGAGAUCCAUCUGGAUUCAUGAACUUAAUUCUAAACAUACAUCCAUCCAUCCAUUUACUACCGCUUA